GACGAACGCUGGCGGCGUGCUUAACACAUGCAAGUCGAACGGAAAGGCCCUGCUUUUGUGGGGUGCUCGAGUGGCGAACGGGUGAGUAACACGUGAGUAACCUGCCCUUGACUUUGGGAUAACUUCAGGAAACUGGGGCUAAUACCGGAUAGGAGAUCCUGCUGCAUGGUGGGGGUUGGAAAGUUUCGGCGGGUGGGGCUGGACUCGCGGCUUAUCAGCUUGUUGGUGGGGUAGUGGCUUACCAAGGCUUUGACGGGUAGCCGGCCUGGGAGGGUGGCCGGCCACCUGGGUACUGAGAUACGGCCCAGACUCCUACGUGAGGCAGCAGUGGGGAAUAUUGCACAAUGGGCGGACGCCUGAUGCAGCAACGCCGCGUUCGUGAUGACGGCCUUCGGGUUGUAAACCGCUUUCGCCUGUGACGAAGCGUGAGUGACGGUAAUGGGUAAAGAAGCACCGGCUAACUACGUG
rnacentral:rRNA from 1 species